AGCGAACGCUGGCGGCGUACUUAACACAUGCAAGUCGAACGGGGAUCGUCAGUGUAGCAAUACAUCGGCGGUUCUAGUGGCGCACGGGUGAGUAACACGUGGGUAACCUGCCCUUGAGUUCGGGAUACCCUUUCGAAAGGAAGGCUAAUACCGGAUACGUUCCUCGGAUUGCCAAAUCUGGGGAGGAAAGGUGGCGCAAGCUGCCGCUCUUGGAGGGGCUCGCGGCCUAUCAGCUAGUGGUGAGGUAACGGCUCACCAAGGCUAUGACGGGUAGCUGGUCUGAGAGGACGACCAGCCACACGGGAACUGAGACACGGUCCCGACUCCUACGGGAGGCAGCAGUGGGGAAUUUUCCGCAAUGGGCGAAAGCCUGACGGAGUGACGCCGCGU
rnacentral:rRNA from 1 species